rnacentral:misc_RNA from 1 species
GAUGAAGAACGUAGCGAAAUGCGAUAAGUAAUGUGAAUUGCAGAAUUCAGUGAAUCAUCGAAUCUUUGAACGCACAUUGCGCCCGCCAGUAUUCUGGCGGGCAUGCCUGUUCGAGCGUCAUUUCAACCCUCAAGCCCCCGGGCUUGGUGUUGGGGAUCGGCGUGCCCUCGCGGCGCGCCGUCCCCUAAAUCUAGUGGCGGUCUCGCUGUAGCUUCCUCUGCGUAGUAGCAACACUCGCACUGGAUCGCAGCGCGGCCACGCCGUUAAACCCCCCACUUCCGAAAGUUUGACCUCGGAUCAGGUAGGAAUACCCGCUGAACUUAAGCAUAUCAAUAAGCGGAGGA